GGCACGAGCCGAUCAGGCUCGCCGGACGAGGGAGCCGUACCCGGACUGCGACAAGACGGCCUUCC
rnacentral:ncRNA from 1 species